GUGGGAGCGAGCUUGCUUGCGAUGGCAGUGUGUCAGUCAACAGCAGUGUUGUUGAUCCACCGCUAUCGCGAGCAAGCUCGCUCCCAC
rnacentral:antisense_RNA from 1 species